rnacentral:rRNA from 1 species
GAUGAACGCUGGCGGCGUGCCUAAUACAUGCAAGUCGAGCGAACGGACGAUAAGCUUUCUUCUCUGAUGUUAGCGGCUGACGGGUGAGUAACACGUGGAUCACCUACCUCUUUUUCUUGGAUAACUUCGUGAAACCGUUUCUACUACCGCCUAAUAUUUUUUACCGCUUGGUUCAAAAGUUAUUGACGGUUUUGCUGUCUCUUUUAGCUGUUUUCGCGCUGCAUUAGUUAGUUGGUAAGGUAACGGCUUACCAAGGCAACGAUGCAUAGCCGACAUGAGAGGGUGAUCAGACACACUGGAACUGAGAAACGGUCCAGAGUCCUACGGGAGGAAGCAGUAGGGAAUAUGCGGCAAUGGGCGAAAGCCUGACGGAGCAACGCCGCGUGAGUGAAGAAGGUCUUCGGAUCGUAAAACUCUGUUAUUAGGGAAGAAAAGAAGUGUAAGAAACUGAGGACAUCUUGACGGUACCUAAACAGAAAGCAACGGCUAACUACGUG